UUAAUACAGUGUGGGCGCAUUUAUGCCCCUACCUUCCUGCUCCGGGGUUAUUAGGGUGAUUCCAGCAUUCUGUUAUUAAAAGAACUUUUCAGUGAAAAUCCCCGUGUGCACUGACUCUGUAUCAGCCAGGAUCUGGAAGCAAACGGAGCUGAAACUCAGAGAUUUCAGCUGAGAGCUUCUGCUGGGGGGGGGCACUUUGACCAGAGGGGUAGGCGGGGCUAACGGAUGCGAAGGCCUCGGGGGACCGAGCACAGCAGGAAAUUGAAGGGACCGUGAGCCUAGGUGGGAUUCACGUCAGGAAUGGAAGGGUGCAGUCCUUGUUGGAGAAGAUUCUUGGUCUCCACUUAGAAUAUCCUUCUGGGCCUGGAACAAUGCACACCCCCUGCCCAGGAUGGAGGAACAGAGACCUCCAGGCCCGACACAUUCAUACCAGUCACUUGACUCCCCUGAGCCAGUCUAGAAGGUCACAGAAUGGACUAAGACAAAGGAGACCUCGCUACAGCCAUCUGGAAGCCUCAGACCUCUAGCCAGGUCCAUGCAAGGGAUGAGCACAAUGGUGUGAUGUUGUAAUAUGUUCAUCCAUGCCCUAAAGGAACUGGUGUCCAUGGAGAAAGGGAGAAGAUGGCCUGAACUUUCUGAAUCCACUGUGCCUUUGCUUUUCCAAUGUUUCAUAAGGAGUCUCCACUCUGUCUGGCUGCUUUUUUAUUCCUCCUGGAAUUUUUCUCUGGGCCUAAGAAUGAAGAAAGAAGCCCUUGAGGCCUCCAACACUGUCAUUGUCACCUCAGUCACCUCAGUGACUCCCAAGGGUCAUUAGGCAGCCAGUGAGCAGCACUUGCGUCCUCACUACCAGAAGGAUGCGGAGUCUGGAGGAGGAGGAGCCAUUUCUCUCCUGCUGAUGCGACACCCAUGAACGUGCAAGGGACAGAGGAGGCUGUGCUAGCAGCAGCUCCUGGGGAUAUGUGGACCUCCCAGAAGAUUGAUGCUCUCGUCUACACGAAAACCCAGUGUGCCCAGACCCCAGCCCGUUGAGGGGGGCAGCCGAGGGUUUGCCACUGUACUCCUUCUCCUAUUUCUGCCACUUGAUUUGCAAAAAGACUUCUCAGUUUUUACUACAAAUGAUGCUCAAUUAUCCAGUGUGCGGCAGUGCUCGGGUCUCCUUUGGACACCACCCUUUUGACAACCACGGGCUUUGGGAAAAGCAAUCCCCUCCACCCCCACGCCCUUCACCUUCACAUGAAGUCAGAUGCUUUAUCUGCUCUUCCCCUACUUACCUUAAUCCUCGCCGCUUGGUGCUGACCCUGGCAUGACUCCAGGAUGGUUCUUGCCGAGCCCAAUGUCUUCAAACACAGUGGCCUCUCCUCGCUUCAUACCCAACCUCCCUUUAAAAAUCUCAUUCCUUGCACUUCCUGGCCCACCAAUAGCCUUCCCUCCUCUUACAGUUUUGGCAUAUUUUUAUCACUCUCCCUUGUGAGCCUCUAUCGGCCCAUUUGUUUUUAACAAAUACAAUGUUAUGUGCACCCAAGCCCCAUAGGAAACGUGAAACAACCAGUUUGCCUGGCUGAAACGGGGUGGUAGCGGUGUGGUGUGAGGCCCGUACUUCCCUUCCCUUGUUUGCUUCCCCCAAAUUCUGCCCAGCUCCUCUCCACAAACCCAGGGCUCAGAAACACAAUUUGCAAACUGGUCUUGAAUGAGAAGGUGCUGCGGGACUGUGUAGGUCCCUCUCCUCUCAUCCCGGUCCCUCCUCCCACCCCUUUGUAACACUACCCUUUCUCCAAAUGUGUGGAAGGCAGCUGUCUCCUAAUUCUCCUCUCAACAGCUGAAGACAGACAGAUGGAAACCAAAAGAAAAACAGUCAUCUUUAUUAUUGCAAGGCUGAUUAGUGAGCAAAGCUUUUAAUCUACAGCCAAAGGGAUCUCAUAUCCUUUCUGGGGUCAACUCAGCUGCCAGUCCUGGGAAGACCCUGGUGUUCGAAAGUGUGGUUUCCUAACGGGAGAGCCAUCUAGGCUGCAUGCAGGCUGCAGCAUGCUUAUUCCAGGGGAAGGGGCGAAGAUCUCCCACUGUUGGGAGAUGGAGGUGCAGCUCACCGGUAAAGCACUUGCCUCACAUGCACAAGGCCCUGAGCUCUGUCCCCUGCACCGAAGAAACUGUUCCUUCCAUGGGAAGAGGCAAGAAUGGACCAGCACAGUGACUAGGGACAUGAACCUCCACCAGAGGCGGCUCUCCAAGGACAGUGACAGUAGCCUUGCUCCAUACAUAGAGCAAUUCUGCCCAUGAAGAAUGUCUCCCUCCUCCUGCAUGAUCUUUGAAUGUCCUGCCAGUCAUUCUACCUGGAUGAACAGUGGCUACUAUGAUCCGAAACUAGACCGUAACCUGUUUUUACAUAAUGAAAAUAGUUCUUGCGUGAUUUUAAUGAACACCGUAUACCAAAUUUUCUAGAAAAGCCACAUGAAUUGAGGGUUGAGUAUACUUUGGUGGAUUGGGAAUUUCCCUGGGGCCUGUUCAGUAUUUCAGAUAGUAUGACACUUUCUGAUGACAGCAAUUCCCAUAGUAUUUUGCCACCAGUACAGUAGAGCACACCUGUAUCGGGCAGCGUCUGUGGCUGUGGCCUUCAUGGUGUUUUCAUGUACAGUAUAAACGUCUGACUGCCCAGUUUUGGCUUCUGGUCGUCUUGUGCCUGAAUGUUGCUCGGAUUCCCUGAAGGUGCCGUGCUCUCUUUCCCCCUGGACUUUGUACUUCCUUGUUCUCUUUACCUCCCUCGGAAGCACCCUCAGCAGCCCUCCCCUGGGUUUCCA